GAUGUGGGCACUUCUGCUCAUUCAGGGCGCUAAGGACGCAACCUCCACCCGCAGGAUCCUAGCCUCGGCGGACUUAGGGGUGCGCAAGGUGGGGACGCAGAGAGGGCGCAGUGUCCAGGUGUUCCGGUGGGAAGCGGCCGACACCUUCCAGAGGGAAAACCAACUCCACCAGCUCGGCAACCUGCCAAGUGCAUCCCCGGCGCCCCUGCCCCUCCCAGCACCGGAAGACCUGGGACCCGAGCCCAGGGGCGGGGCGGACCCUCUCUCGGAUUGGCGGGCAGCCUCGGCCCACACGGUAGCGCCUGCGACCCCGCGACCUCGCCCGUGGCAUCACCUUGGCGCCCAGCCCUCCACAGUCGGCGCAGUACAAGGCCCCUAGGCUGCGGAAAUGGCGGCGGGUAGUAGCCGAGCCCCGGAGACCCCGAAAAUUUAGAAUUUAACUCCACAAUUUAAAAUGGACAUCAAACUGUCUAACUGAUCAUGGAAAGAUCCAAACCAUGGACUUCCAUUUCUGACCACAGUGGGGGAACAGGGACUAGAUUUACCCUCUUACCUGGAACAACCAAGAAAUUAGACAAAAAUAUGAAACAAUUGUUGCAAGACAUGAUAUCAGGAAAUGAAGAAAAAUGAUCCCUAAGAAACAGGAUACAAGGUGAACUCGCUGCC